rnacentral:rRNA from 1 species
GAUGAACGCUAGCGGCAGGCCUAAUACAUGCAAGUCGAACGGGUGGUCGCAAGACCACUCGUGGCGCACGGGUGCGUACGCGUAACCAACCUGCCCCGAUCUGGGGGAUAGCCCGCCGAAAGGCGGAUUAAUACCGCAUAUACCCGCAGCCUGGCAUCAGGCAACGGGGAAAGAUUUAUUGGAUCGGGAUGGGGUUGCGUGACAUUAGCUAGUUGGCGGGGUAAGGGCCCACCAAGGCGACGAUGUCUAGGGGACCUGAGAUGGUGAUCCCCCACACUGGCACUGGGAUACGGGCCAGACGGCUACGGGAGGCAGCAGUAGGGAAUAUUGGGCAAUGGGCGAGAGCCUGACCCAGCCAUGCCGCGUGCCGGAUGAAGGCCUUCUGGGUUGUAAACGGCUUUUCUCAAGGAAGAAAAAGACCUGGCGAGGUACACUGACGGUACCUGAGGAAUAAGCACCGGCUAACUCCGUG